GGGCCGCACAUGAACGAGGCGGCCUGGAGCCUCCGGGCUUACGAAACAUGACGUUGAUCGACUGAGCUCUUGUUGAACAGCACCCAUUCAAGGCAGCCUC
rnacentral:sRNA from 1 species